CAGAUGUCAGUGCGUCACUGGCACAGUUCUGUAUCUAUCUACCAUCAUCGGUUUCCUGUAAUUACCCAUUUCGGGUUUCAUAAGCUAAACUGUGGAGCCGAGCCGAAACGGGUGAGAGACAGGAAAGGAGCGAAAAAGAAUGGGCAGGGUAUUUGUGGUGGAGCUCGAGGGAAGGUCUUACAGAUGCAAGUUCUGUAGAACUCACUUAGCUCUUCCUGAUGAUCUUGUCUCCCGGUGUUGAAUUGAUUGAUAAGUUUUCUCCGGACAAGCUCUGUCACUUCUUUGAGAGGUAAAUGAAAUCCACCAUUGUAAGUAAUGUGGUUUAAUAGUGGCAGCACACAUCAUAUCACAGACGAAGUUUGCGUUUCAUGAAUAGCAAGAUCAAUAUCGUCCGGUAUCCUCCUGUCUUAUUGAAGAUGCUUCCAACCAUGUCCCUCUCAACUUUGAGUGCUUCAAAUGGUACAGUGUUCAAAUUCGGUUAUUCAAAUUGUAACAGUAGCUGAUUGAGGUUCACAAUCCGAUAUCUUCUAUUCUUUAGUUCUUAUGAAUUUUUGGAGUUAUUACUUUUUUGCUUGCUUGUAUGUUGUUGUUUAAGCCAUGUGCAUUACUUGCUUCUUUGGUUCACAAUCUUUUAUACCACCUAUGCUAUUGU